rnacentral:rRNA from 1 species
AUUGAACGCUGGCGGCAGGCCUAACACAUGCAAGUCGAACGAGUCGCGGACUGGUGUGUAUUGUCUGGGAAACUCCCCGAUGGAGGGGGAUACCUACUGGAACCUGUAGCUAAUACCGCAUACCAUCGGAUGUCCCCAGAUGGGAUUAGCUAGUAGGUGGGGUAACGGCUCACCUAGGCGACGAUCCCUAGCUGGGCUGAGAGGAUUACCAGCCACACUGGAACUGAGACACGGUCAAGACUCCUACGGGAGGCAGAAGUGGGGAAUAUUGCACAAUGGGCGCAAGCCUGAUGCAGCCAUGCCGCGUGUAUGAAGAAGGCCUUCGGGUUGUAAAGUACUUUCAGCGAGGAGGCGUUACUCGCAGAAGAAGCACCGGCUAACUCCGUGCCAGCAGCCGCGGUAAUUG